GACAGAGGUGCCAAGCGUUAGGCGGAAUCACUGGGCUUAAAGCGUGUGUAGGCGGGCGAUCAAGUACCUUGUGAAAUCCCACGGCUCAACCGUGGAACUGCUGGGUAUACUGGUUGUCUUGAGCCAGCUAGGGGCGAGCGGAACAGACGGUGGAGCGGUGAAAUGCGUAGAUAUCGGAAAGAACAUCAGUGGCGAAGGCGACUUCCUGGAUUGAUACUGACACUGAGGCGCGAAAGCGUGGGGAGCAAACAGG
rnacentral:rRNA from 1 species